AAAUGGGCUCAAUUAACUCCAGGGGAGGUUUAGAUUGGAUAUCGAGAAUAAUUUCUUCACAGAAAGGCUUUUCAGGCAUUGCGACAGUCUGCACAGGGAAGGGGUGAGUUUGCCAACUCUGGCAGCAUUGGAGACCUAUGGAUGUGAUGCUUAUGCACUCAUUUUAGUGAUCGACUUGGUAGUGUUAAGUGGAAAGUUGGACUUGAUCUAAAGGGUCUUCUCCAUCCUCAUGAAGGCAAGAAAUGGAGUGUCUCUCCUGUGAGGAAGGCUGAGAGCUGGGACUCUUCCGCAGGAAGAAGGGUCAGGGGAUCUCAUCAAGGUGUACAAAUAUGAAGGGAGGAUGCAAAGCAGAUGGAGCCAGGUUCUUUUCGGUGGUGACCAGAGACAGAAGAAGCAGCAAUGGACACAACAGAACACAGCAGACAGAGAUUCAGGCUAACACCAGAAAACACUUCUUCACUGUGCAGGAGACUAAAGAACAAAACAAUUUGCCAGCAAGUGCAUUCUCACAAGCAACAAGGGGCAAGUCCUUCUCUGACAGUCCGCAGUGUUCUGGACACAACUUGUACCGACAUCACCAGGGUUCCCCACUUGUAUUGCAGGAAUACAGUUCUCAGGACCAACGUGGGUCCUGACAAGUCUGAGGCCAAGCAACAAGGCCAUUACAAGAUAGAAAAAAUCCUGCAAAGCAGCAGUCUUCUCUCUUCAGAGGCUGCUGUACUUGCUGUGUGGAAUUUGAGAGCACCCUUGUGACAUCACAGAGAAGCACCAGUACCUGUUUUACAGCAGCUGUAUUCGGUUCAGGGCUCCCUCUUGUGAGCUCAGACGUGUGGCUGUCCAGGCUCCAGCUGCUUUCUGGGCUUCCCUUGGGGUUCUGCCUCUUGACCAUAUUCUGUACAGGGUCAGAGCAGAUGGCAGCUACCAGAACCACGUGUUUUGCUCAUCCCCUCACAGCUAGAGGAAAAUUGCCAGUGAGAGGCAGAACAGAUAUUCUCACUGCCAUUGCACCCUGCAUCCAUGGCCUAGCAACAAUUUCCCUGCAGACAAGAGGGCCGUGGAGGAACAACUGAGAGCCUGUGCAGACAUGACAUCUAUGCUGUGCAGGAACACGCCAUGACUGAGAAGGAUAUGCAGUUGACAUAUCUACAACCAGGAAGUUAUAGUGGACUGACAUCCCAUAUACAGAGCAGGUGUAGUAUUUUUAACAAAUAAGACUCUCCUUUUCAUGAGAUUCAUGAUUUUGAGUCAUGGCAAGGACUGAAACACAGGGAGUUAUGGCAAUACUCGAAGAAGUCAAAGUGCUUGGAAAGAAGAGAUAAAGACUGACGUGGAGAAGUGAUGGGAAGGAUGGGAUAACAGAGAAAAGUAGGAAUUGAAAUCAAGAUGGCUAAUGAGAAGA